rnacentral:rRNA from 1 species
UACGGAGGGUGCAAGCGUUAUCCGGAUUUACUGGGUUUAAAGGGUGUGUAGGCGGACUAUUUAAGUCCGUGGUGAAAUCUCCGGGCUCAACCCGGAAACUGCCAUGGAUACUAUUAGUCUUGAAUGUUGUGGAGGUGGGCGGAACGGGUCAUGUAGCGGUGAAAUGCUUAGAGAUGACCCGGAACACCGAUUGCGAAGGCAGCCCACUACGCAACUAUUGACGCUGAGGCACGAAAGCGUGGGGAUCAAACAGG